GGCGCUAGAUGUAGGGACCUUUCCACGGUUUCUGUGUCGUAGCUAACGCAUUAAGCGCCCCGCCUGGGGAGUACGGCCGCAAGGCUAAAACUCAAAGGAAUUGACGGGGGCCCGCACAAGCGGCGGAGCAUGCGGAUUAAUUCGAUGCAACGCGAAGAACCUUACCAAGGCUUGACAUACACCGGAAACGGCCAGAGAUGGUUGCCCCCUUGUGGUCGGUGUACAGGUGGUGCAUGGUUGUCGUCAGCUCGUGUCGUGAGAUGUUGGGUUAAGUCCCGCAACGAGCGCAACCCUCGUUCUAUGUUGCCAGCGCGUUAUGGCGGGGACUCAUAGGAGACUGCCGGGGUCAACUCGGAGGAAGGUGGGGAUGACGUCAAAUCAUCAUGCCCCUUAUGUCUUGGGCUUCACGCAUGCUACAAUGGCCGGUACAAAGGGCUGCGAUACCGUAAGGUGGAGCGAAUCCCAAAAAGCCGGUCUCAGUUCGGAUUGAGGUCCGCAACUCCACCUCAUGAAGUAGGAGUCGCUAGUAAUCGCAGAUCAGCAACGCUGCGG
rnacentral:rRNA from 1 species